rnacentral:snRNA from 1 species
UCGCUUCAGUAGCAUAUAUACUAAAACUGGAACAAUACAGAGAAGAUUAGCAUGGCCCCUGUGCAAGGAUGACAUGCAAAUUCAUGAAGUGUUCCAUAUUUGG